rnacentral:rRNA from 1 species
CGCGUAGGCGGCUUGGUAAGGGGGCGGUGAAAGCCCGGGGCUCAACCCCGGGUCUGCCGGACCGACUGCCGAGCUUGAGCACACUAGGGGCAGGUGGAAUUCCGGGUGUAGCGGUGGAAUGCGUAGAGAUCCGGAAGAACACCGGUGGCGAAGGCGGCCUGCCGGGGUGGUGGCUGACGCUGAGGCGCGACAGCGUGGGGAGGCAAAACA